AACGAACGCUGGCGGCAGGCCUAACACAUGCAAGUCGAGCGCCCCGCAAGGGGAGCGGCGGACGGGUGAGUACCGCGUGGGAAUAUGCCCUUUGCUACGGAAUAGUCUCGGGAAACUGGGGGUAAUACCGUAUACGCCCUUUGGGGGAAAGAUUUAUCGGCGAAGGAUUGGCCCGCGUUGGAUUAGGUAGUUGGUGGGGUAAUGGCCUACCAAGCCGACGAUCCAUAGCUGGUUUGAGAGGAUGAUCAGCCACACUGGGACUGAGACACGGCCCAGACUCCUACGGGAGGCAGCAGUGGGGAAUCUUAGACAAUGGGGGCAACCCUGAUCUAGCCAUGCCGCGUGAGUGAUGGAGGCCUUAGGGUUGUAAAGCUCUUUCAGCUGGGAAGAUAAUGACGGUACCAGCAGAAGAAGCCCCGGCUAACUCCGUG
rnacentral:rRNA from 1 species